rnacentral:rRNA from 1 species
GACGAACCGUGCGAACGUUGUUCGGAAUCACUGGGCUUAAAGGGCGCGUAGGCGGCCGGCAAGGUCGUGGGUGAAAUCCCCCAGCUCAACUGGGGAACUGCCUACGAUACCAGCCGGCUCGAGGGAGGAAGGGGCGGUCGGAACUGUCGGUGGAGCGGUGAAAUGCGUUGAUAUCGACAGGAACGCCGGUGGCGAAAGCGGACCGCUGGCCCUCUUCUGACGCUGAGGCGCGAAAGCCAGGGGAGCGAACGGG